rnacentral:rRNA from 1 species
CAGCAGCCGCGGUAAUACGAAGGGGGCUAGCGUUGCUCGGAAUUACUGGGCGUAAAGGGAGCGUAGGCGGAUCGUUAAGUUGGGGGUGAAAGCCCGGGGCUCAACCUCGGAACUGCCUUCAAUACUGGCGAUCUUGAGUAUGAGAGAGGUGAGUGGAACUCCGAGUGUAGAGGUGAAAUUCGUAGAUAUUCGGAAGAACACCAGUGGCGAAGGCGACUCACUGGCUCAUUACUGACGCUGAGGCUCGAAAGCGUGGGGAGCAAACAGGAUUAGAUACCCGCGUAGUCCCUGUCUUUUAUAC